UACGUAGGGUGCGAGCGUUACUCGGAUUUACUGGGCGUAAAGCGCAUGUAGGCGGCUUGUUAAGUCUGAUGUGAAAUCCCUGGACUCAAUCCAGGAACUGCAUUGGAUACUGGCAGGCUUGAGUAUGGGAGAGGUGAGCGGAAUUCCAGGUGUAGAGGUGAAAUUCGUAGAUAUCUGGAGGAACAACAGAAGCGAAAGCGGCUCACUGGACCAUUACUGACGCUGAGAUGCGAAAGCGUGGGGAGCAAACAGG
rnacentral:rRNA from 1 species